GCCACUCCACUCCAACCUGGGCAACAGAGCAAGACUCCGUCUCCAGAAAAAAAAGAGAGAGAAGGGGGUUAGGAUUGGAAUGGGACACACAAAAAGGACUUCUAAGGUAAGGAGCUGGUUGAAUUCAAGCAUGCAAAACCCAUGGGUAUAGAAGGCCAACUGUAAUAAUUUUGUCUGCUCCAUGAAGAAUAACGAAUAGACUCAAAGGGAUAAUCAAAGAAGCAGCAAGACCACUUAGGAAGCUCCUGCAAUCAUCCAGGAGAUUAUUUUAAACUUGAUGGAUCAAUCCUCUUAAGGAUAACGAAUUUGGAUUUGCAAGAAUUCAAGGCAAUUCCGGGCCCAGCUUUUUGGAGGUAAAUCCACUGAGCCGGUGUGUACCUCACAAUAAAUAUCCUCCUGUAUUCACGCAUACUGGUCUCUCUAAUCCUCUGCGUCCCGCAACAAGCUGAGAGCGCGCCACUGCACUUGCAGUCUUGCACAUAGCAAGACUAUGUCUCAACAACAACAAA